UUUGAGGAAUUUGCAGGAAGUUUAACUUAUGUAUAUUUUUCCCCUGUAGUACCCCAGGUAGGCCUAAUGAAAGGAAAACAAAUGAAGUGGAUCCCCAUCUUCCACCCUUGCCUCCGCUAAGCCAUCAGAGGACAAGUUUCCCACCCCACUCUCUCCAAUUUCACUUGAAAAAUAAAACAGGCCUCCGGCUGUGAAAUGGAUUAUGCUCUACAACUCUGUACCUGGAAUAGAAGCCACCAUUCUUCAUGAAGGUUGCUGAGAAUUUUGUAUCGCAGCCUGGCAGCUUCCUAUUCCCUCGUUAGCCUGCAUAUCCCACUUAACGAAAGAUUCGCCAUGCACUGACUUGUAUGUGACUCACAGUGUGCACAGUAUGCACUGACUGUGACCUGUCCCCAAAUGAACACAGUACCAGCCUAACGUACCACCUUACCUAUGGCUGUCUCCCAUACACACCCAAUCCACUGCAGGCAAAUGAUCUACCCACAAUCUCCCAAACACAGUCUUCACUGUCUGGUCACUGCUCCUUUACACGUGGCAUUCACUCUGUUUGCAGAGG
rnacentral:lncRNA from 1 species